AUUGAACGCUGGCGGCAUGCUUUACACAUGCAAGUCGAACGGCAGCGCGGGCUUCGGCCUGGCGGCGAGUGGCGAACGGGUGAGUAAUACAUCGGAACGUGCCCAGUAGUGGGGGAUAGCUCGGCGAAAGCCGGAUUAAUACCGCAUACGACCUGAGGGUGAAAGCGGGGGAUCUUCAGACCUCGCGCUAUUGGAGCGGCCGAUGGCAGAUUAGCUAGUUGGUGGGGUAAAGGCCUACCAAGGCGACGAUCUGAAGCUGGUCUGAGAGGACGACCAGCCACACUGGGACUGAGACACGGCCCAGACUCCUACGGGAGGCAGCAGUGGGGAAUUUUGGACAAAGGGCGAAAGCCUGAUCCAGCAAUGCCGCGUGUGUGAUGAAGGCCUUCGGGUUGUAAAGCACUUUUGGCGGGAACGAAAAGGACUGUGCCAAUACCACGGUUCGAUGACGGUACCCGCAGAAUAAGCACCGGCUAACUACGUG
rnacentral:rRNA from 1 species